AACGAACGCUGGCGGCAGGCUUAACACAUGCAAGUCGAACGCCCCUUCCGGGGGAGUGGCAGACGGGUGAGUAACGCGUGGGAAUUUACCCAGCUCUACGGAACAAACUCAGGGAAACUUGAGCUAAUACCGUAUACGCCCUUUUGGGGAAAGAUUUAUCGGAGUUGGAUGAGCCCGCGUUUGAUUAGCUAGUUGGUGGGUAAAGGCCUACCAAGGCGACGAUCAAUAGCUGGUCUGAGAGGAUGAUCAGCCACACUGGGACUGAGACACGGCCCAGACUCCUACGGGAGGCAGCAGUGGGGAAUAUUGGACAAGUGGGCGCAAGCCUGAUCCAGCCAUGCCGCGUGAGUGAUGAAGGCCCUAGGGUUGUAAAGCUCUUUCAACGGUGAAGAUAAUGACGGUAACCGUAGAAGAAGCCCCGGCUAACUUCGUG
rnacentral:rRNA from 1 species